GCUUAACACAUGCAAGUCGAGCGGGCGUAGCAAUACGUGCAGCGGCAGACGGGUGAGUAACGCGUGGGAACGUACCUUUUGGUUCGGAACAACACAGGGAAACUUGUGCUAAUACCGGAUAAGCCCUUACGGGGAAAGAUUUAUCGCCGAAAGAUCGGCCCGCGUCUGAUUAGCUAGUUGGUGAGGUAAUGGCUCACCAAGGCGACGAUCAGUAGCUGGUCUGAGAGGAUGAUCAGCCACAUUGGGACUGAGACACGGCCCAAACUCCUACGGGAGGCAGCAGUGGGGAAUAUUGGACAAUGGGCGCAAGCCUGAUCCAGCCAUGCCGCGUGAGUGAUGAAGGCCCUAGGGUUGUAAAGCUCUCUUGUGCGGGAAGAUAAUGACGGUACCGCAAGAAUAAGCCCCGGCUAACUUCGUGCCAGCAGCCGCGGUAAU
rnacentral:rRNA from 1 species